rnacentral:rRNA from 1 species
UACGAAGGGGGCUAGCGUUGUUCGGAAUCACUGGGCGUAAAGGGCGCGUAGGCGGCUUUGUAAGUCGGGGGUGAAAGCCUGUGGCUCAACCACAGAAUUGCCUUCGAUACUGCAUGGCUUGAGACCGGAAGAGGUAAGUGGAACUGCGAGUGUAGAGGUGAAAUUCGUAGAUAUUCGCAAGAACACCAGUGGCGAAGGCGGCUCACUGGCCCGAUACUGACGCUGAGGCACGAAAGCGUGGGGAGCAAACAGGG